CCCUAUUCUUAGCCAUCUUUUCCUUGCUCUCGUAUUUCAGAUUCUCUUUCUCAGUUACUUAUCAAAAACAAACUUUUCGGUUUAUACAAAAAUGGUCCAUCAGUAUUCAUGUUUUGUCCUUGAAAAUUUUCACCGGUAAGCUUGCCCUCUGUCUCUAAAAACUUCUCUCUCUAUAAAAUCUUCUUCCAAUUUUAGCUACUCCAUCAUGUCACCCUCACCUUCAGCUUCGUUUUCAUCCGUUACUAGCGAUGAAAUUGAUACAGCGCAGCUGUCGUAAAGAUGCAAAUCUUUGUUAGAACUCUCACAUAUUCAAGUCAUCACUCUGGAGGUGGAGUCUUCCAAUCCGCCAUUCUCAACAACAUUUAAGGCCAAGAUUCAAGAUAAGGAAAGAAUUCUAACACCCACAGAUUGUUGGAGAACAUGUAAUUUUAUUUUGCUAAUUAAAAAUCAUGUAAUUUUGCUCCUAUAUUUGUGAGUAAUUUGAAGAAGAUGGUUUUGGUAUUA